CCUACGGGAGGCUGCAGUGGGGAAUAUUGGACAAUGGGGGCAACCCUGAUCCAGCCAUGCCGCGUGUGUGAAGAAGGCCCUCGGGUUGCAAAGCACUUUCAGUGAGGAAGAACGCCUGGUGGUUAAUACCCAUCAGGAAAGACAUCACUCACAGAAGAAGCACCGGCUAACUCCGUGCCAGCAGCCGCGGUAAUACGGAGGGUGCGAGCGUUAAUCGGAAUUACUGGGCGUAAAGCGCGCGUAGGUGGCUUGAUAAGCCGGUUGUGAAAGCCCCGGGCUCAACCUGGGAACGGCAUCCGGAACUGUCAAGCUAGAGUGCAGGAGAGGAAGGUAGAAUUCCCGGUGUAGCGGUGAAAUGCGUAGAGAUCGGGAGGAAUACCAGUGGCGAAGGCGGCCUUCUGGACUGACACUGACACUGAGGUGCGAAAGCGUGGGUAGCAAACAGGAUUAGAUACCCCAGUAGUC
rnacentral:rRNA from 1 species